CAGCCGCCGCGGUAAUACGGAGGGGGCUAGCGUUGUUCGGAAUUACUGGGCGUAAAGCGCACGUAGGCGGCUUGGUAAGUUAGAGGUGAAAGCCCGGGGCUCAACUCCGGAAUUGCCUUUAAGACUGCCGAGCUAGUAGGUGAGAGAGGUAAGUGGAAUUCCGAGUGUAGAGGUGAAAUUCGUAGAUAUUCGGAAGAACACCAGUGGCGAAGGCGGCUCACUGGACGCGUAUUGACGCUGAGGUGCGAAAGCGUGGGGAGCAAACAGGAUUAGAUACCCCAGUAGUCCCUGUCUCUUAUAC
rnacentral:rRNA from 1 species